rnacentral:rRNA from 1 species
GAUGAACGCUGGCGGCGUGCCUAAUACAUGCAAGUCGAGCGAACAGAUGAGGAGCUUGCUCCUCUGACGUUAGCGGCGGGCGGGUGAGUAACACGUGGAUAACCUACCUAUAAGACUGGGAUAACUUCGGGAAACCGGAGCUAAUACCGGAUAAUAUAUUGAACCGCAUGGUUCAAUAGUGAAAGACGGUUUUGCUGUCACUUAUAGAUGGAUCCGCGCCGCAUUAGCUAGUUGGUAGGGUAACGGCUUACCAAGGCAACGAUGCGUAGCCGACCUGAGAGGGUGAUCGGCCACACGGGAACUGAGAAACGGUCCAGACUCCGAAGGGAGGCAGCAGGAGGGAAUCUUCCGCAAUGGGCGAAAGCUUGACGGAGCAACGCCGCGUGAGUGAUGAAGGUCUUCGGAUCGUAAAACUCUGUUAUGAGGGAAGAAAAAAUGUGUAAGUAACUAUGCACGUCUGGACGGUACCUAAUAAGAAAGCCACGGCUAACUACGGG